CAGAUGUGUUUAAAAAAAGACUGGAUGUGGCACUUGGUGCCACAUGGUUUAGUGAGGUGUUAGGGCUUGGGUUGGACUUAGUGAUCUUAAAGGUCUCUUCCAACCCAGUCAUUCUGUAAAUUCUGUGAACAGCA